rnacentral:rRNA from 1 species
CAGGAUGAACGCUGGCGGCGUGCCUAAUACAUGCAAGUCGAGCGAACGGACGAGAAGCUUGCUUCUCUGAUGUUAGCGGCGGACGGGUGAGUAACACGUGGAUAACCUACCUAUAAGACUGGGAUAACUUCGGGAAACCGGAGCUAAUACCGGAUAAUAUUUUGAACCGCAUGGUUCAAAAGUGAAAGACGGUCUUGCUGUCACUUAUAGAUGGAUCCGCGCUGCAUUAGCUAGUUGGUAAGGUAACGGCUUACCAAGGCAACGAUGCAUAGCCGACCUGAGAGGGUGAUCGGCCACACUGGAACUGAGACACGGUCCAGACUCCUACGGGAGGCAGCAGUAGGGAAUCUUCCGCAAUGGGCGAAAGCCUGACGGAGCAACGCCGCGUGAGUGAUGAAGGUCUUCGGAUCGUAAAACUCUGUUAUUAGGGAAGAACAUAUGUGUAAGUAACUGUGCACAUCUUGACGGUACCUAAUCAGAAAGCCACGGCUAACUACGUGCCAGCAGCCGCGGUAAUACGUAGGUGGCAAGCGUUAUCCGGAAUUAUUGGGCGUAAAGCGCGCGUAGGCGGUUUUCUAAGUCUGAUGUGAAAGCCCACGGCUCAACCGUGGAGGGUCAUUGGAAACUGGAAAACUUGAGUGCAGAAGAGGAAAGUGGAAUUCCAUGUGUAGCGGUGAAAUGCGCAGAGAUAUGGAGGAACACCAGUGGCGAAGGCGACUUUCUGGUCUGUAACUGACGCUGAUGUGCGAA